UCUGCCUGCUUUGUACCCACUCCAUGA
rnacentral:piRNA from 1 species